ensembl:lncRNA
CCUCUCUGGAGCUGGCUCAUUCCUCUUCUCUAGUUGCACAUUAAGUUUCUCCAGCAUGAAGGCUGAGCUUGGCCAGUUCAGAACUACUCUAGCUGCAAGAGGAGGCUUCUGAGGAAGAUUGAGGAAAGAACAAGCUGUGAACCGCCCGUGUGUGUACUCGAGGCUACUCCAGUUCCGGUUUCCAGCCCCUGUGAAGAGGAAGCAGAUCUGGAUGGAGAAGUCUCAGCUCCUUCUCCAGCACCAUGUCUGCCUGCAUGGCACCGUGCUCCCUGCCAUGAUGGACUCAACCUCCAAAACUAAGACAGUCCCCUUCUGCUGCCUGUGGAUCGAGAUGUGGAACUCUCAGUUCUUCCACCACCAUGCCUGCCUGCACGCUGCCAUGCUGUCUGCCAUGAUGAUAAGGGACCGAACCUCUGAAACUGUAAGCCAGCCCCAAUUAAAUGUUUUCCUUGUAAGAGUUGCCUUGGUCAUGUUGUCUCUUCACAGCAAUUAAGACACUCUCCUAAUAUGGACCUCACACAAAUGGCACACAGAUGUGACUAGAUAACUUCUUUGUUACAAAAGAACUUCUAUUCUCUUGGCAGGGUCAGGGUAGUAGAAUGAUUCUCAGAAUUCACCCAUUGUAUCUCUCUCUCUCUCUUUUUUUUUUAUUAACUUGAGUGUUUGUUAUAUACAUUUCGAGUGUUAUUCCCUUUCCCGGUUUCCGGGCAAACAUCCCCCUCCCCCCUCCCC